rnacentral:rRNA from 1 species
UACGUAGGGUGCGAGCGUUAAUCGGAAUUACUGGGCGUAAAGCGUGCGCAGGCGGUUCGUUAAGUUCGUUGUGAAAGCCCCGGGCUCAACCUGGGAACUGCAAUGGAAACUGGCGGGCUUGAAUGCGGCAGAGGGGGGUGGAAUUCCUGGUGUAGCAGUGAAAUGCGUAGAUAUCAGGAGGAACACCGAUGGCGAAGGCAGGUCUCUGGGCUGACACUGACGCUCAUGCACGAAAGCGUGGGGAGCAAACAGG